rfam:Serratia marcescens FGI94, complete genome.
CAAGCCAGAAGAGGCGCGUCGCCCAGGUACAGUGUCGGAGGAGCCGUUAUCCCAUGACGGCACUGGAGGGGGAGCGACGCCGAGGUAUGUCGCCCAUUCGGCUAAGCGACGUGUCGGCUACAGGGGCUGAAUCCCCUGGGUUGUCACCAUGAUCGUCCCUAACGGACGGUCGGCAAGGUGGGGCGCUUCUGGGUGU